GGCUCCAUGGUCCAACGGCUAAGAUGCCUGGUUGUCGUCCAGGAGAUCGGGGUUCGAUUCCCCGUGGAGUCGCCA
rnacentral:tRNA from 1 species